rnacentral:rRNA from 1 species
UACGAAGGGGGCUAGCGUUGCUCGGAAUUACUGGGCGUAAAGCGCACGUAGGCGGCUCUUUAAGUCGGGGGUGAAAUCCUGGAGCUCAACUCCAGAACUGCCUUCGAUACUGAAGAGCUUGAGUCCGGGAGAGGUGAGUGGAACUGCGAGUGUAGAGGUGAAAUUCGUAGAUAUUCGCAAGAACACCAGUGGCGAAGGCGGCUCACUGGCCCGGUACUGACGCUGAGGCGCGAAAGCGUGGGGAGCGAACAGG